rnacentral:rRNA from 1 species
GAUGAACGCUGGCGGCGUGCCUAAUACAUGCAAGUAGAACGCUGAAGGAGGAGCUUGCUCUUCUGGAUGAGUUGCGAACGGGUGAGUAACGCGUAGGUAACCUGCCUGGUAGCGGGGGAUAACUAUUGGAAACGAUAGCUAAUACCGCAUGACAACAGUUAUUGCAUGAUAACUGUUUAAAAGGGGCAACUGCUCCACUACCAGAUGGACCUGCGUUGUAUUAGCUAGUUGGUGAGGUAACGGCUCACCAAGGCGACGAUACAUAGCCGACCUGAGAGGGGGAUCGGCCACACUGGGACUGAGACACGGCCCAGACUCCUACGGGAGGCAGCAGUAGGGAAUCUUCGGCAAUGGACGGAAGGCUGACCGAGCAACGCCGCGUGAGGGAAGAAGGUUUUCGGAUCGUAAAGCUCUGUUGUAAGAGAAGAACGAGUGUGAGAGUGGAAAGUUCACACUGUGACGGUAGCUUACCAGAAAGGGACGGCUAACUACGUG